rnacentral:rRNA from 1 species
CGGGUAGCGGAACACGUACAGAACCUUCCUUUAAGCGGGGGAUAGCCCAUAGAAAUGUGGAUUAAUACCCCAUAGUAAUAUUAACUGGCAUCAGUUGGUAUUUAAAGAUUUAUCACUUAAAGAUGGCUGUGCGGCUGAUUAGGUAGUUGGUGUGGGUAACGGCCCACCAAGCCAUCGAUCAGUAACUGGUGUGAGGGCACGACCAGUCACACGGGCACUGAGACACGGGCCCG